CAUUUUCGCCUCCUUUAAAUUUACCGAUAUUGUGAGUAUGCUUGUAUGCCAGUCUUUGUGCCCUUGCUGAUUGCUGAUUCUCCUAUACAGUUGCCCCUACCUUAAUAGAUCUUAAUCCUGUUAUACCUGUUAUUUCAAUUUUGAGAUGGUUGGGGGUUUGAACCAAAUAAGUAGCCUGUGUUCUGGUAUGCGUAAUUCAACAAACCAAAGUUGAUUUAGCUAGAAGGAAUGCUCUUCCAGGGGGGUUGAUUCAUCAUGUGUGUUAUGCAGAUGCUCAGCAGAGACAAGUUCACAUCUUUUCCUUAACUGUGAUAUAUCAUGGAAAUUAUGGAUGAAGAUUGGUGGUUGGCUUGGUUUCUUGUCUGUUUUUCCUUCAUCGGUGGGGGACCAUUUUUCCCAGUUUGGGGUUGGUUCUUGUAAUUCCAAAUUCAGACAGGUUCUGGUUCUAAUUUGGAUUGCAACAGUUGGGGUAAUCUGGUAUUUGAGAAAUGGUGUGGUAUUUAGGGGAGAGGAAUUUGGUACUGUGAAAGCAUUAGACCUGAUUCAGUAUAGAGUUUGGUUAUGGCUCAAGGUGAAAGAAAAGAAUUUUAUGGCUUCGUUCUAUUAAUGGAUUAUGAAUCCUGUUGCUUGCUUGAGUUAAGUGUCCAUCCUAUUGUUUGUAAGAUGAUCAUUUUGGCAGAUUGGGCAUAUGUGGAAUGCGUUGAUGGGCUAUCCAUGUGGUUGUGUAUGGUGCAAUUCAUGGUGAUGCUUUGGUUGAAUUUCACCGAUGUGGGCUCCUUUAAUAAGGAAGAAUUAGUAUUGCUAUCAAUGUACCUGGAGGUUUUGAAUUCUUACUGUAGUUGCUGUAUCUGUACUGCUGCUAUUGUUAUCUUUGCACAACCUGACCUCUUGUGAGACUCAGAACUUGGAAGGUCUUUGAUGAUUUGAAGUGUGGACUUGAUUUUGAAAUUCCAAUUUCAAAGGAGAGAGGCUUGGCUGAAGGUUUGCUCCUCAACUAAUGUGGUGACAAUUCCAUCAAGCAUUCAAUGGAAGAACAGAGCCUUAUGAAUAUGGGAAUCUCACUUCAUCGCAUCCAUGAGCAUCACCAUCACCAUCAUUGAUCAGGUGCUUAUUGGAUUAGAUCCCAGCUGAAAAAAGCAAGUGCUAUGGGAUGAAUGACAAAUUGGUUGUGGAUGGCGCUAAUGGUUUAGGUGGAGAUUGCUCAUGAACAGGAUCCAGAAGAACCAUUUGAGAUUUCUUGCAAUUAGCAUUCUUUUUACUUAGUUAGUAUUGACUAAGCUGUUUUCUUUUCCCAUCAUUUUGCAAAUAUUUUCAUGUAAUAUUUGUUCUGCGGAAAAAUUUCAGAGAUUGAGAAAUGAAAAGUUUACCAAUAAAUGUAGAGAAGGAAAAUGUUAUGUGGUAUGAGAGGAAGAAAUGUAAAAGUUAAAUAGGUUGAUUUUGGUUGGAAAAAACUUGAAUAUAUAAAGAGGGUGGUGAAACUAUUCAUCUUCCUAUUAAUA